AUAAAAUCUUGUUAAAAAGAAAAAAAAAAAAUCUGUUCUUAUCAGUUUAAUAUCUGAUACGUCCCCUAUCUGGGGACUAUAUAUUAAAUUGGUUUUUGGAACAGGGAGAUGGAAUAGGGGCUUGCUCCGUCCACUCCACGCAUCGACCUGGUAUUGCAGUACUUCCGGGAGCGGUGCACCCCCC
rnacentral:snRNA from 1 species